rnacentral:lncRNA from 1 species
AUUCUUCUAGUAGAGAGCACGAGUACAGCGUUUCACUAAUUUGGAUCUGGACUUAAUUUUCGAUAAAGAAAAAAACUAAUUUGGAUCUGGAGCUAAUUUGUGUGCCAAACACUUUUGUUAGGUGAAGUGGAGUUGAAGUGGAGUGGAUUUUAGGGGUGAAGUGGAGUUUAGGUGGAGUGAAGCCCUCCCAAACACACCCUAAUACUCCCUUUGGAUGUAGGCAGUGAAGUUAGGAAUUGGGAAUUGGAAUUGGAUACCCCGAAUUCCGUUGUUUGGCUGUCACUGAAUUGACCGCUCGAAUCGAGGUUGAAUUCCGAACCGUCUCCCGCACUGCUUGCCUCACUCGUCUCGUAAUUCCGAGCCCCCGAGCUCUGUAUUGCCCGGAAUUCAUCCGCGUCCUCCUCCCUCCCGAAGCGUUUUCUUCCCCGAGAUACAUUAUCCUCCCCCGAGACGCAGAGGGGUGGGCGAGGUGACCAGGCGGCGAGCGGCGGUCGACAGCAGCGGCUGGCGCGCGGCGCAGGCAAGAGCUCUAUCUAGCCAUCUCUUCCCCAUACAUCCCCACCUCCCGCAUCCCCUCUCUCUUAGCUCUGGCGGUCGACGUCAAGCUCGACCAGAGCGUGAACCUCAUGGGGUCAUGGUCGCCUGCUCUUCUCCGACCACCGUCGCCUGUUCUUCUCCAUCCACGGGGUCAAUCUGGACCAAGCUCCCCCUCCCCUCCCCACAGACACAUCCACGGGAGAAGAAUCAGAUCGAGACGCAUCUCAGAUCUGGGAAGGAGGGAGGGAGGACUGAGGAGGAAGCACGUAGCGGAGAAGUUGGUGUCCAGCUAGUCUGCUAGUGGUUGAUUCUUCUGUAAUCUGUUUUCCUUGUGGAAUUGAUUGGUGUAUGUUGCUCCUCCCAGUCAGAGAUUGGUUUUGGCGUAGGCAAUAGCCUGCCGAUGGUCUUGUAUUUAUACAUGUACAACGAUUACAAGAUAGAUUAGAAGCUGUUAGCAUCUCAACAAAAUACAACUACCUAAUAGCCGGAUAAGUUACAGAACCGGCAUUGCCGGAUAUGCUACAGUGGAAAUAUUCUUGGGGUUAGUUUUACAUUCCCCCUCAAUCUUAACCAGAGGCUCCAAGGUUAAAAUUGUGCUUCAUCUUCUCGAUCAUGAGCUUGGUAGCGGGUUUCGUGAAGGCAUCGGCCACUUGAUCAGCGGAUGAAACAUAGCGAAUCUCCAAACACCCAAGCGCCACUUUUCCUGCACAAAAUGAAAAUCUACCUCAAUGUGCUUUGUGCGGGCAUGAAACACCGGAUUGGCAAUCAAAUAGGUGGCGCCGAGAUUGUCACACCAAAAAACUGGAGGACGCGGUUGUGGAAUGAGAAGCUCACGAAGUAGAGAUUGCAUCCAAGUAACUUCGGCAGCACCAUUAGCUAGAGCUUUAUAUUCUGCCUCCGUGCUGGACCGAGAAACUGUUGGCUAUUUGCGCGCACUCCACGAGAUUAGAUUAGGACCGAAAAAUACAACGAAGCCACCAGUGGAACGCCGGUCAUCUGCGCAGCCGGCCCAGUCGGCAUCGGUGAACACACUGAGAAUUGUGGAGGGAGACCGCCGAAUGUGGAUGCCGGUAGCAACUGUGCCUUUGACGUAGUGAAGAAUUCGCUUGACAACAUCCCAAUGUGCCUCAGUCGGUGCAGCAAGAUACUGACAAACCUUGUUAACAGCAAAAGAAAUGCCAGGACGUGUCAUGGUCAGAUACUGCAGGCCACCGACCAUACUCCGAUAGCGGAAAACAUCUUCAUCUUUGAGAGGAGAGCCAAUAUCACGGGCAAGUGGUUCCUGUACAGCCAUAGGAGUAGAGACAGGCCGGUAGUUCUCCAUGUGAGCACGAUGAAGAAGAUCCAAGGCAUACUUCUGCUGGCACAAGUGCAUUCCCCCUGAAGUAGAAGUAGCCUCAAUCCCAAGAAAAUACCGAAGAGACCCAAGGUCUUUGAUGGGAAAAGACACUUGUAGUUGCUUCAGGAGACGAUCGGCGGCUUGAGGACAGGAACUAGCAAUGACAAUGUCAUCGACAUACACGAGCAUGUAAAUUGUCAUGCCGGCUCGAGCAAGGGCGAACAAGGACGUGUCAGCCUUGGAAGGAGUGAACCCGAGAUGAUGCAGCUUGUCGCUGAGCCGAGCAUACCAGGCGCGGGGCGAUUGCUUCAAACCAUAGAGCGACUUGUGAAGCCGACAGACAUGACCAGGCGAUCGCGAGUCUUCAAAGCCUGGGGGCUGCUGCAUGUAGACCUCCUCAGAGAGGAUGCCAUGAAGAAACGCGUUGUUGACGUCGAUCUGACGAAGAUGCCACCGCUUGUAGACGGCCACGGAGAGGACAAGACGCACCGUGGCCGGCUUGACCACGGGACUGAAGGUGUCGAGAUAGUCGAGGCCAGGUCGUUGCGUGAAGCCGCGAGCAACCAGGCGAGCCUUGUAUUUGUCGAUGGAGCCGUCGGGCUUCUCCUUCACUUUGAACACCCAUUUGCAGCUGACCACAUGCUGAACGGGGGGGGGGGGGGGGGCGAGGCACCAGACUCCCGUGCCAUUGGCCUGGAGGGCAAAGAACUCGGCCUCCAUCGCAGCUCGCCAUGCAGGCUCGGAGAGAGCAAGGCGAUGGGAUGUUGGCACGGUGAAGAAUGCUCGCCGAUUGGGGUCGUACCGGAUUGUCCCAUCCGUGAUCAGACGAGGCGUGCGAACAUUGUUGUGAAGCCGGGUGACCACCGUGGAACGUGCAGGAGCUGGAGGAGGCAGGGCCAGAGGCGACGGAGGGCCUGGGUCGUCGGGAAGAAGGCGUUGUCGCGGCAGCCGUCGCAGCCGGAUUUGCUGUCGCGACAAACGUCGGGGUAGAGGUCGCUGUCGCGGCAGCCGUUGCAGCCGGAUUUGCUGUCGCGACAGGCGAAGAGCUGCUCCUGUCCAAGGCACCUGGCGAGCUCGGAGCGUCCGAGCCAGGUGCAGGUCGUGUGGGCGAGAGAGUUCCUGCAGGGUUAGCGUCGACAUGAUAAAAUCGCAUAGAAUCAAGGUGUAUGACCGGCUCGGAAGUUGGAAAAUCUGAGGGAUCCGAAGGAGAAGAACUAGGAUUAGACGAUGCAAAAGGGAAGAUGAUGUAAAAGGGAAGACGUGUUCACCAUAGCGUCAGCGUGUGCCUCCAUCUUGUGGAAGAAGUCAUCAGCCGUCAUGCCCUUCUUCUUGAUUCGACAGUUGGUACCGUAUCUGGGCAACUCGAGCCAUGUUCUAUGAGGAGAACAUGGCGAGAAGGGCAGCCCAGACGGCCGCCAACGUCUUGAGCUAGACGAUCCGCGCGAGGAUCCCCUCCGUCAUGGAGGAGAGCAGGAUGCUGAGGACGGUCUUGUCCUGCUGAAACCAGCGUAGGUACGCUGGGUUGACAACGCAACGCGCAUUGUCGCCGGUCCCCUCGGUGAUCAUGUCAGCAGGGGCGCGUAUGGAGCCGUCGAGGUAGCCAAACAGGCUCUGGCUGGUUGGCGUGAGCUGGCCGCUUAGGGCAGGCUCGACCUGUGCACGCCACAGGAGAAAGUUGUCGCGGUUCAGCUUGACGCUGAUGAGGCCACCGAGCGAAGUCACGGACAUGGUGGCGCCGACGGCAGAUGAUAUUGAUCCGACGAGCUCGAAUCCGGAGCUUGCAGCGGACGUCAUGGUGGAGAUAGAUCGGGCUCUGAUACCAAGUCAGAGAUUGGUUUUGGCGUAGGCAAUAGCCUGCCGGUGGUCUUGUAUUUAUACUGGUACAACGAUUACAAGAUAGAUUAGAAGCUGUUAGCAUCUCAACAAAAUACAACUACCUAAUAGCGGGAUAAGCUACAGAACCGGCAUUGCCGGAUAUGCUACAGUGGAG